rnacentral:rRNA from 1 species
AUUGAACGCUGGCGGCAUGCUUUACACAUGCGAGUCGAACGGUAACAGGCCGCAAGGUGCUGACGAGUGGCGCACGGGUGAGUAAUGCAUCGGAACGUGCCCAGUCGUGGGGGAUAACUACUCGAAAGAGUAGCUAAUACCGCAUACGAUCUAUGGAUGAAAGCGGGGGACCGUAAGGCCUCGCGCGAUUGGAGCGGCCGAUGUCAGAUUAGGUAGUUGGUGGGGUAAAGGCUCACCAAGCCAACGAUCUGUAGCUGGUCUGAGAGGACGACCAGCCACGCUGGGACUGAGACACGGCCCAGACUCCUACGGGAGGCAGCAGUGGGGAAUUUUGGACAAUGGGCGCAAGCCUGAUCCAGCAAUGCCGCGUGCAGGAAGAAGGCCUUCGGGUUGUAAACUGCUUUUGUACGGAACGAAACGGCUCUGGUUAAUACCCGGGGCUAAUGACGGUACCGUAAGAAUAAGCACCGGCUAACUACGUG